UAUGCAAUUUAGAACUUUGUUUCUGGUGGUGCCUGUGGGAAGGAAAGAAGAAAAGAAUAUGUUACUCUUCUGUCUGAAAAGUGUUUGGUUUAUGGCAUCAUAGCUCUUCAUCUGACUCGUUUGCAGCAUUAACAGUGCAAAGAAAACCUUUCUGUAUGAAAGAAAGAAAACACUCAGAAUGCUGAUUAUUCUGGAAAAGAUGCCUCAGAAUAUCCAUUUUACUUUUCAAGUGUGCUGUGAUUCCAGAGCUGCAUGGCCACUUGGAUCCUAUUUGCUAAUGGGAGGUACCAAUGCCUUGUAAGCUCAACAUUCUGCUCUGAGAAGGGAGAAGAUUGAAAUGGUGACAAUUCAACCCAGGACUCACAUUGUUUGGGUGGCAGAGAAAAUAUCCAACCCCCCAGGGACCAAUCAGUUUCCAUAUAUUGUGGGAAUUUAAGCUGGGCUACUCAUCCAGUUGAAGAACAUGGAAGAACCAAUAUGCCUGAGACCCUCUAG